rnacentral:rRNA from 1 species
AUGCGCUGCCCGCAACAAACUUUAAAAAAUCAGACCCAAUCCGAUCCGCAGGGCAGGGCGAUGAAGUACAGCAAGGAGGCCAAGCCCGAGAGGGCGGGCGGAGGCGGCGCCGGGGCGAGGGCCGUGCCGGUGGCGCUCAUGCUGCUCCUCCUCUGCGGCUUCUCCUUCUACCUCGGCGGCAUCUACAGCACCGGCCGCACCUUCACCUUCUCCUCCACCACCACCAGCAUCAUCCCCAUCGUUUCCACCACGAAACAGGAGGGCUCCGCGGUCGCGCUCGCCAUUGCCAGGAACGGCAACGGCGACGACGAGGUGGAGUUCUCCGAGUGCCCCGCCGACUACCAGGACUACACCCCCUGCACCGACCCCAAGCGGUGGAGGAGGUACGGCAACUACCGGCUCAGCUUCAUGGAGCGGCACUGCCCGCCGCCGCCGGAGCGCGCCGUCUGCCUGGUGCCGCCGCCGCGGGGCUACAAGCCGCCCAUCCGCUGGCCCAAGAGCAAGGACCAGUGCUGGUACCGCAACGUGCCCUACGACUGGAUCAACAGCCAGAAGUCGAACCAGCACUGGCUCCGCAAGGACGGCGACCGCUUCACCUUCCCCGGCGGCGGCACCAUGUUCCCCAACGGCGUCGGCGCGUACGUCGACCUCAUGGCCGACCUGGUCCCCGGCAUGAAGGACGGCAGCGUGCGCACCGCGCUCGACACCGGCUGCGGCGUCGCCAGCUGGGGCGGCGACCUGCUGGCCCGCAACAUCCUCACCGUCUCCCUGGCGCCCAGGGACAACCACGAGGCGCAGGUGCAGUUCGCGCUGGAGCGCGGCAUCCCGGCCAUCCUCGGCAUCAUCUCCACGCAGCGCCUGCCCAUCCCCUCGGCCUCCAUGGACAUGGCGCACUGCUCCAGGUGCCUCAUCCCGUGGACGGAGUUCGGCGGGCUCUACCUCAUGGAGAUCCAGCGGGUGCUCCGGCCGGGCGGCUUCUGGGUGCUCUCCGGCCCGCCCAUCAACUACGAGAACCGGUGGCACGGCUGGAACACCACGGUGGAGGCACAGAAGGCCGACUUCGACAGGCUCAAGAAGAUGCUCGCCAGCAUGUGCUUCCGGCUGUACAACAAGAAGGGCGACAUCGCCGUGUGGCAGAAGUCCCUCGACGCCGGCUGCUACGACAAGCUGACGCCGGUGACCACCCCGGCCAAGUGCGACGACAGCGUGGACGCCGACGCGGCGUGGUACGUGCCCAUGCGCUCCUGCGUGACCGCGCCCAGCCCCAAGUCCCGCGGCAAGGCGCUGCCCAAGUGGCCCCAGAGGCUGGGCGUCGCGCCGGAGCGCGUCUCCGUCGUCCCCGGCGGCAGCGGCAGCGCCAUGAAGCACGACGACGGCAAGUGGAAGGCGGCCACGAAGCACUACAAGGCGCUGCUGCCCGCGCUGGGGAGCGACAAGGUGCGGAACGUCAUGGACAUGAGCACCGUCUACGGAGGGUUCGCGGCGAGCCUCGUCAAGGACCCCGUGUGGGUCAUGAACGUCGUCUCCUCCUACGGGCCCAACUCCCUCGGCGUCGUCUACGACAGAGGACUCAUCGGCACCAACCACGACUGGUGCGAGGCCUUCUCCACGUACCCACGGACGUACGAUCUGCUGCACGCCGACGGCCUCUUCACCGCAGAAUCACACAGAUGCGAGAUGAAGUUUGUGCUCGUUGAGAUGGACCGCAUCCUUCGUCCGACCGGCUACGCUAUCAUCCGGGACAACCCCUACUUCCUCGACUCCGUGGCCUCCAUCGCCAAGGGGAUGAGAUGGACCUGCGACAGGCACGACACCGAGAACAAGGAGAAUGAGAAGGAGAAGCUCCUCAUCUGCCACAAGCAGCUCUGGUCGGCAAAGAAGGCAUAG